GGGGGAGGGGGUGACACCAGUGAGACUGAUGACAGAGACACAGGUGAGAGUGAUCACACUGAUCAACAGACCCAGGCAGGACACAGAGAAGGGAGACAGACAGACCUCACAUCAUCAAGUCAAUGUCUGCUACAGACUUAAUGCAGCUACUUCUGGAUUCAAAUGGAUUUGGAGUCCUGAUUGGCUGAACACGUCAAAGAAGCAGUCAGCAGUGACCAAUAACUGACAUCGAUAAUUGGACAUACCCUUUGAAAAGGGACAUCAAGUCCACUGAGGAAUUGAGCCAAACUCUACAGAUAGGUAUGAAUUGUAGCUUUUACUGACUCUUGUCUUUCAUAUAUUCGAUGGUCCAAAUAAUCACAUUAGGUCAAACAUGGGCAAACUUCUGCCCGUGAGCCAGAUAUGUCCCCGCUGGGCUUUCUAUUGUAUUUUACCUAUUUGUGUGUGUGUUUUUACUGUUGUUUUGAUGCUGGACUGCUGCUGGAGUCCUAAAUUUCCCAAAGGGAACUCCCAAGGGAUUAGUAAAGUGCUAUCUAUCUAUUUAUCUAUCUAUCAAUCCGUCCUGGUUCUUGUUUCAUAUUGUACAACAAAUAGACUGUAAUAUCGAAUGAUGCCACAGGAUGGCGACAAGACAUCAGUAGUGCCAAAUGUUUCUUCCUUGUUCUUCCUACUUCUUUGUAUCUUCAUUUAUAUAAUUUCGCCCAUGCAUUCUAAUUUCAACCAAGACAGACCAGGCCACCAGUCAAAUCUUGAACCUAAUUUUGGCGCCAGAAAAUUGCCCACCCUUUGAACGUCGCAGUUUCGUUUCAUGCUGGGCAUAUAACAUCAAGUUGAAGCGUCCACAAACAAAUGGUCGACACGGAUAUGGAAUAAAGCCCGGUCCAGGAACUGAGGACAUCUUCAGAAUAGUACAGGAUUGUCCAGGACAGCAACCCCAGCUGCUACACCUCCAUCAGUGUCUUCAUUGCUCUUGGUCCUUAGCAGAGCUCCCAGGCUUUCGCAAGUCCUCCAGCCAGACCAGCAGCUACGUUGUUGUCUAGGAUUCGCUGGCUCUCCUUGAAUCGUCCCACCAGGUGAAGGGUUUUUCUGGCAGAAAAAAAAGAAAUAAUGAGUUUGGAGCCUCUUGGAUCCUCAUAAGUACACCAUGCUGCAGCGCUGCAUCUUUGGCCACAGCCACCAAAUUUUCAAUCACAGUAGCGUUGGUCAGAACCUCCUCUGGUAUCAGCUGCUCC